GAUGAGGUCCAUUUUUCUUCUUCAUUUCCUAGAGUUCCUUUCUCAGUGUUGGUGUGUUGCCCAGCAAGCCUCCGUGUUAUCAAAGAAGAUGAAUCUGAUGACGAGGAUACCUGCCUGGACGGUGUUCCUGAUCUGUUUUCAGACCCUGAGUUCCUUUCUCAGUGUUGGUGUGUUGCCCAGCAAGACUCCGUGUUAUCAAAGAAGAUGAAUCUGAUGACGAGGAUACCUGCCUGGACGGUGUUCCUGAUCUGUUUUCAGACCCUGGUGACUAUAUGUAUAGAAAAAAUAUAUAAAAAUAUGAUGAUGUUGAACUCUGAGUGUAAACAUAACUUGGCCCUAAAGAAAUGAACUAUUCACUGAAAAUCGCAAGAAGAAGUUAUUGGGGAUAAAGAGAGUCUGGGGAAGUUAUGUGAUAAACAGGAGGGAAAUGUUCUAAUAACUAUAAUAAAUAAUAAAUGGGUUGUACUUGUAUAGCGCUUUUCUACCUUCAAGGUACUCAAAGCGCUUUGACACUACUUCCACAUUUACCCAUUCACACACUGAUGGAGGGAGCUGCCAUGCAAAGCGCUAACCAGCACCCAUCAGGAGCAAGGGUGAAGUGUCUUGCUCAGGACACAACGGACAUGACGAGAUGUCAUCAGUGUUUGAACCUGACACUGUGGAACCUAACUCUCGCGAUAAUGGAGGGAACUCUGUACUAGCGAUCUG